rnacentral:rRNA from 1 species
UACGUAGGGGGCAAGCGUUUGUCCGGAGUUACUGGGCGUAAAGCGCACGCAGGCGGUCUCCUUAAGUUUUGGGAAGUGACAGUUGGUGGCUUAACUGCCAAAGUGCUUCGAAAACUGAGAGACUUGAGGGCUUCAGAGGGACACGGAAUUCCGGGUGGAGUGGUGAAAUGCGUAGAGAUCCGGAGGAACACCAAAGGCGAAGGCAGUGUCCUGGGGAGUACCUGACGCUCAGGUGCGAAAGCCAGGGGAGCGAACGGG